rnacentral:tRNA from 1 species
UCCCUGCUGAUUCAGAUGGUAAAGAAUCCACCUGCAAUGUGGGAGACCUGGGUUCAAUCCCUGGGUUGGGAA